AUGGCCAAAUUUGAUAAGCCGGGGGAGGCGGGGGGCGGGCGGAGGCGGCUUUUCCCCACCGGCUUCGUGCAAGGGAAGGGGCUGGGUGCCUGCGGGCGCCUGGGCUGCGGCCAGAGCCCGGGACGGGGGGCAAAGCGGGCUCCGGCGGCRCCACGCUCCCGGCGGCAGCGGGGUGCGUGCAUGCCGGGGGGCUCAGCCCCCGCGCGCGACAGCAGCCACCAGUGCCAGCGCCAGCCCCUGUCUCCCGGGUCGGGAAGGCCGGGGAGUGAGCAGCGAGGAACGGCUGGAAAGCAGCCUCCGGCGGCCGCGCUGCACCGGGAAGGACGUCUCCCGCCCCGUGGGCUCGGCGGCGGGCACGGCGUGGCGGUGCUGGGGCUCGGGGUGCGUGGUGGGAAUUGGAGCGUGAACGGAGGGAGCGAUCCCGCAAGCGACACGAGGAGAGGAGGCACGAGUCAGCUCUGCCUGCCCCAUCGUGUCACUCGGCGCACUUAUUUCCCGGGCUCUCCGUCACGUCAAAACCCUCUGGAAUGCCCCCAGCUGAGCUCGGGCUCGCAGGGAAAGGGUGGGCGCCGGGCUGCGCCUGGGGUGAUGAUAACGUGGUCUGUGCCUUUUCCCCGGCCCCGUGGGCUGGAGCGCAGCGGGGCCGCAGGUAAGGGGGGGUCGGACAGCCCUUGCACCACGGUUCCCAUGCUGGCGGAAAAUAGCUUUUCACCACCGAAGCGUCGCUGCCGGGGCUGCAGGACCUCCUAUCUCCGCACGAACUAUGUUUUCCGCCCAUCAAACAUAAGCACGGCUCUAGCUAAGCCUCCUCUCUGGAGCAAGCACCGUGCUGCAUGGGGACGGCCACCCGGCGCGGGACGAGGGUGGCGGUGGCCGGCCUGGAGGGGUGCGGGAUGCUGCCUUGUGGAGGGGGCGGCACAGAGGCCCCCCCGGCAUCCCUGCCGCGGCCUGGCCCCCGUCCUUCGGCAGGUAGCGCCCGGCCCAGCCGCCGACCCCAGGCUUCUCCGCUCGCAACCAUAUUUGCACAAACGCCUGCUUAACGCGUGA
rnacentral:lncRNA from 1 species